rnacentral:rRNA from 1 species
AGUGAACGCUGGCGGUAGGCCUAACACAUGCAAGUCGAACGGCAGCACAGUAAGAGCUUGCUCUUACGGGUGGCGAGUGGCGGACGGGUGAGGAAUACAUCGGAAUCUACUUUUUCGUGGGGGAUAACGUAGGGACACUUACGCUAAUACCGCAUACGACCUACGGGUGAAAGCAGGGGAUCUUCGGACCUUGCGCGAUUGAAUGAGCCGAUGUCGGAUUAGCUAGUUGGCGGGGUAAAGGCCCACCAAGGCGACGAUCCGUAGCUGGUCUGAGAGGAUGAUCAGCCACACUGGAACUGAGACACGGUCCAGACUCCUACGGGAGGCAGCAGUGGGGAAUAUUGGACAAUGGGCGCAAGCAUGAUCCAGCAAUACCGCGUGGGUGAAGAAGGCCUUCGGGUUGUAAAGCCCUUUUGUUGGGAAAGAAAAGCAGCAGGUUAAUACCCCGCUGUUCUGACGGUACCCAAAGAAUAAGCACCGGCUAACUUCGUG